rnacentral:rRNA from 1 species
UACGGAGGGUGCAAGCGUUAUCCGGAUUCACUGGGUUUAAAGGGUGCGUAGGUGGGCAGGUAAGUCCGUGGUGAAAUCUCUGAGCUUAACUCAGAAACUGCCGUGGAUACUAUUUGUCUUGAAUGUUGUGGAGGUGAGCGGAAUAUGUCAUGUAGCGGUGAAAUGCUUAGAUAUGACAUAGAACACCAAUUGCGAAGGCAGCUCACUACACAAUUAUUGACGCUGAGGCACGAGAGCGUGGGGAUCAAACAGG